rnacentral:rRNA from 1 species
CUGUAUUUUACCCUUGUUUUUCUCAUACUAUUAUUUCCUCGGCAGGCUCGCCUGCCGGGUGAAACAACUUCAAACCUGUUUAAUUUUCAAUCAGCGUCUGAACAAAUUAAUAAUUACAACUUUCAACAACGGAUCUCUUGGUUCUGGCAUCGAUGAAGAACGCAGCGAAAUGCGAUAAGUAGUGUGAAUUGCAGAAUUCAGUGAAUCAUCGAAUCUUUGAACGCACAUUGCGCCCCUUGGUAUUCCAUGGGGCAUGCCUGUUCGAGCGUCAUUUGUACCUUCAAGCUCUGCUUGGUGUUGGGUGUUUGUCCUUGCUCUAGUGGCGGGACUCGCCUUAAAGUAAUUGGCAGCCAGUGUUUUGGUUUUGAAGCGCAGCACAAGUCGCGAUUCAAGUCUAUACGCUAGUUUCCACAAGUCUUUUAUCACUUUUGACCUCGGAUCAGGUAGGGAUACCCGCUGAACUUAAGCAUAUCA